UGGGGAAUAUUGGACAAUGGGCGAAAGCCUGAUCCAGCAAUACCGCGUGAGUGAUGACGGCCUUAGGGUUGUAAAGCUCUUUUAGCAGGGAAGAUAAUGACGGUACCUGCAGAAAAAGCCCCGGCUAACUCCGUGCCAGCAGCCGCGGUAAGACGGAGGGGGCUAGCGUUGUUCGGAAUUACUGGGCGUAAAGAGCGCGUAGGCGGCUUAGCAAGUUGGAAGUGAAAGCCCGGGGCUUAACCUCGGAACUGCUUUCAAAACUGCUAGGCUAGAGUAUGGUAGAGGGUGAUAGAAUUCCUAGUGUAGAGGUGAAAUUCUUAGAUAUUAGGAGGAAUACCGGUGGCGAAGGCGGUCACCUGGGCCAUUACUGACGCUGAGGCGCGAAAGCGUGGGGAGCAAA
rnacentral:rRNA from 1 species